AUACGUAGGGGGCGAGCGUUGUCCGGAAUGAUUGGGCGUAAAGGGCGCGUAGGCGGCCCGGUAAGUCUGGAGUGAAAGUCCUGUUUUUAAGAUGGGAAUUGCUUUGGAUACUGUCGGGCUUGAGUGCAGGAGAGGUAAGUGGAAUUCCCAGUGUAGCGGUGAAAUGCGUAGAGAUUGGGAGGAACACCAGUGGCGAAGGCGACUUACUGGACUGUAACUGACGCUGAGGCGCGAAAGUGUGGGGAGCAAACAGGAUUAGAUACCCUGGUAGUCCACACUGUAAACGAUGAAUGCUAGGUGUAGGGGGUAUCGACCCCUUCUGUGCCGCAGUCAACACAAUAAGCAUUCCGCCUGGGGAGUACAGCCGCAAGGUUGAAACUCAAAGGAAUUGACGGGGG
rnacentral:rRNA from 1 species